rnacentral:lncRNA from 1 species
UUUUUUUUUUAAACAUGGUGAUUUUUUUUUCCUUUUCCCUCUUCAUUAUUUGCUGGCUGUUAUUUCCACCAAUGAAACCUACAGUCUCUGACAAGGAAAAGGCAAAGAUAUUUUGAGACAGAGGAACAGCAAUGAGGAAAAAAAUAGCACUCAUGAAGAGUUUCUACUGGCAAUCUCCUGUCCCUGAUUUUUUUUUUCCCUUAUACAAACUGUAAUAUGAUGAUAUUAUGCAACUGCCUUCACAUAUUAGAAUCAUUAUGAGCAGUAGCUUUGUGAUAUCAUACAGCAGGUGCUAAGAACAGUUUCUGCUUUUUCCCCAAAGCAACUACAAAAUUACUUACGAUUUCAUUACAGAACAAUCAACACUUUGUGGGGAGAAGUUUGUAUUAUUUUGUGAUUGUGUUAGCGAGGAAAAAAAUAUAUAAAUCUAUCUUUCUGGGGAGUCUGCAGCAUUCUCAGGGUGAAAACUAAACUGAAUUCAUUUGUAGCCAAAUGCCUACGUCCUUAGCCAGAGGAAACUCUGAUGGAACUGGAAGGACUCCAAUCCUCAGUCAGCAAUUUGCUUUCUCCUGCAGACUCAAGCCAGCAGGGCUCUGUGCAUCCCACCUGAGGACUGAAGAGUGCAGAGCUGUGGGCAAAGUUGAGUCCUUCAGCCAAGACUGAAGGGGUCACUAUGAGAGGAGGUUUUACAUUUAUCUCACCUUUAGGAUAGAGACAAAACCAAAGGGUUAAGCAAAAAAAUUCAACCUAUGUGGGGUGAGGCAGGUUCACAAUCAGGCAGAUGUGAAGUCCAGCCAAAGCCUUCUGAGAGUCACUGGCCACUUUCAAGCAACGGAUGUCUUUUAUCUUCUCUCUGGAGAAACUCUGGGGCUUAGGAAAGCCUCACCUCUGGUCAGCUCAAGUUACUCCAACAGGAAUAAUUCCAGAUGAUUCCUGCUCCCAGAGGAAGAGACAGCCACAGUCCAAGGUCUGCAGGUCUCGAUGCAAGGAAGACCAAUAAGCUUACAGGGAGCUGCAUUUUCCUCCAAGCAUUUCCUGCCAGUCUCCAAUGCCCACAAGGCAGCUGCACUGCCAGCCCCAGAACUGCCAAUCUGCCAUUGGAAACAGGGCAGAGAUUUCAUUACACGCUUUCAGACAGGGAAUUGCAGAACUGGUGGAAAUCUGCAAGCCCCAGUUCCUUACCCCUUUGGUUAAAUACCCCAGGGACUGCAGUCCUUUCACCCAAAGCCCAUGCUGUUGUCCUAUCCAUCCAAAACCGUAAUAUAUUAAAAGGUACUUUUCCACUAAAAAAGCAAAACAUGUCCAUUGGUCAUAUUUUCUAUUCCCAGAAGAUGCUUUGCUCGUGUUUUAUAAACACUUAGUACUAAAUAUUCCCUUUAAAAAA